rnacentral:snRNA from 1 species
GUCUUUUCGGGGACAUCCGGUAAGUUUGAAACUAUAUAGAAGACUAGUAUGGCUCCUACUCAAAGAUGACACACAAACUGAAAAAGUUGUUCAAAUAUUUU